AACCCAUUGGUAUAAAGGUAGAUCGCAGUCUUUCGGUUUAUAUUCUUAUAAUUUCUUUAUCUUGUUAUAAUUAAUGCAGAAAUCAAAUAUGAUGCCUAGCAGCAUUGCCAUAAUUAUAUAUUAUGUAUAAAUUAAUUAGUUCAUGAUUUUAAAUGAUCAAAUACAUGUAGAUGUUACCAGAAAUUAUUUCUGGCAGUAUGAGUAUUGCCAGAAUAUUACCAGAAGUCGUUGCAGCUAGUGGCAAUAUUCUAGGUGCAUGUUAAUAUAAUUUUUUACAGAAAUAACUCUAAUAGUAUUGCCAGAAUAUUGCCAGAAGUUAUUGCUGCUAGCGGCAACACUCCAGCAGUAUUGCCAAAAUGUUAAUAGAAGUUGUUGCAGCUAGCGGCAAAAUUUCACUAGUCUCAAAAUCUGGUUUCUGGUAACAAAAAUGUGUUGCUACAAUAUUGCCGCAUUGUUGCAGCAAUAAUUUUACUUUGGUAAGGACCUAAAACAUUGACUAUGGUGUGUGUGCAUGUUUUUUUUUGCUUUAUAUGGGAUAUGAAUCCAAUAAGAAUAGAAACAAAAAAAUUUAAAUUAUGCAAACAAAAUCCUUACAGAUUUGUUAAGGAUAAUGCCUCCAUCUCAUAAAACUGUGCUUCUGUGUCUUUCCUGCAUGUUUUUCCUUUUUCUUCAAAAAAGUUAUGAGAAAGAUUAUAACUUCAGCACAAAAAGAGAACUCCCCCUGGGAGUUUUGGUGUAGUUCAUUGUGUUGAUACUUGAUAGCAUGUUACUCAUUUGCAAUGAAAUUAUCAAUUUUUUCACACUUUUUUCAAGCUAAGAGAAUACUAACAUCAAAGAAAGAGGUCAAUGCAUUAUUUACAAACAUAAUAUGCACAUACAAUAAGAAAGAAAUGCAUAAAAUCGAAAGACCACAAAAGAAAUACAGGCACUACACGUCGGCCCGGAGUUUCAGGUGUGCAAUCUAAGGUUUACCGGUACAUACUGGUACCUGGCCUGUGUGACGGUGCCUAUUUAGAAACAGUGAUCAGCUUCACCGUAAAUUAAUGACGGUCAAAGAAAAUUUUAAAACCUCUACCUCCACCUCUUCUUGUCGACCUAAGACAAUAAGGUGGUAAUUAUCUGUAUAAUUGAAGAAGUCUUGUAAACCAAUUGUUUGUUUUUAAUGAGAUCCAACAAAGUAGUUUUUAAUUAGGUUUUAAAUAUGUAUUUUUUAACCUUUUGGCAAAAAUUCAUCUAUUUAAAUGAUCAAAUACUUUUGUUGCCCGUAACCAAAAGGACCCAAUUAAACCUCUAUGCUUCUAGAUAUGAUGUCUUAAGCUUUUAAUUAAAUUUGAAUAUUUUGCUAUACAUCUGUACAGUUCUUCUUUCUAAGGAUAUUAAUAUAGUGUAUUAAGCAACAACAUUCCAGCCUUCUUAAAUAACUUUUUAUUAAUCCAUUGUUAGCGAAGUCAUAUCUUUGUAUAAAUGCCAAUCUACACAACUUUAAGCUGGUGUCAUUUAGAAAAACAAAAUUAUUUUUUAAUGAAGGCCUAAGAAACAUAAUUAUGUUAUUGCAAUAAAAUUGUAGUAGAAACACUUUGUUUCAGAAAAUUUUGUUGCAGGUUUUUGUAUUAUUUUGUAGCAGGUUUUUUGUAUAAUUUUGAAGCAGUUUUUUUUGGUAUAAUUUGAUAUGCUUUAUGAUAGUCAUUGUUUAAGAUACAUUGUUUCUUUUUAUCAUAUGUAUGCACAGUCAACUUUUUGUACUUGAAAAUGAAGCAUUGCUUCAAUAUGUGUAUCAAACUUUUCUCUCAAAAUUUGUGAAUUUUGAUUAUUAUUUUUUGGAUUCAUAUUUCAUUCACAUAUAAAGUAUACAUAUGAAAAUGUAAUGUAGAAUCAUUUGUGGGAUAAUUUUGUGGAUUUUAUCUUCUACUUGCAUCUAUUUGUAAUGAAUAAGAGCUGAAAAUAAACUCUAAUAUGCAUUGAA